UGAGGAAUAUUGGUCAAUGGGCGAAAGCCUGAACCAGCCAAGUCGCGUGAGGGAAGACGGUCCUAUGGAUUGUAAACCUCUUUUGUCGGGGAGCAAGGAUCCGCACGAGUGCGGAGGCGAGAGUACCCGAAGAAAAAGUAUCGGCUAACUCCGUGCCAGCAGCCGCGGUAAUACGGAGGAUGCGAGCGUUAUCCGGAUUUAUUGGGUUUAAAGGGUGCGCAGGCGGAGGAUCAAGUCAGCGGUAAAAUAGCGGGGCUCAACCCCGUCGAGCCGUUGAAACUGGUUUUCCUAGAGUGAGCGAGAAGUAUGCGGAAUGCGUGGUGUAGCGGUGAAAUGCAUAGAUAUCACGCAGAACUCCGAUUGCGAAGGCAGCAUACCGGCGCUCAACUGACGCUCAGGCACGAAAGCGUGGGUAUCGAACAGGAUUAGAUACC
rnacentral:rRNA from 1 species